GCGGAAGUGGUGAAAUUGGCAGACACGUAGGUCUCAGAAGCCUAUGUCGCAAGACUUGAGGGUUCAAGUCCCUCCUUCCGCA
rnacentral:tRNA from 1 species